UUCGGAAACUUGCCUUUCACACGUCACCGGCAGGACAACUGGCCUAAAUACCGUCUGCACUACAGCGCACGGAGCAAUGCGAAAUAAAACAGAAAUUCUGCAUCCACUCGUGUUCAGAACGCAAUCGGUUCAUGCAUAGAUCAGCAUGAAGCGCAAGAGCGAGCGACGGGGCGAGUCCAGCAAAAGACUCUGCGCCUCACUGAGGGAAGAGACCAAAAGCGAUGUUUACGUCCACAUCACAGAUCAGCUGUAUUUUGCUGUUGUCCGUCAGAAGUUGAGGACUUCACCUGACAGACAUUAUUUUUGCAUUGAUGAAGAACUCGCUUAUGAAAACUUCUAUGCAGACUUUGGCCCGCUCAACCUGGCCAUGUUUUAUCACUUCUGUUGCAAACUCAACAAGAAACUGAAGGUAACAAAACAAACACACAACAUGAUACUGUUCUACAAAAUGCUGUCUUCAUUCCUUGUGUGUAACACGCAUUCUGAACGUGUGUUUUUAUGGCAGUCUUGUGCUCUUACGAAGAAGAAGAUUGUGUUUUACACAUGUGGUGACAGAAAGAAACAGGCCAAUGCUGCGUAUUUGAUCGGCUCAUAUGCUGUCAUGCAUCUACAGAAAACACCAGAAGAAGCCUACAGUCUUCUGCUCUCUCAAAAUGCAUCUUACCUUCCUUUCAGAGACGCAUCUUUUGGAACCUGCAUGUACAAUCUGAAUAUUCUUGACUGUCUGCGGGCUGUUCACAAGGCCCUUGAGUUUGGCUGGCUGGAUUUCUCAAAGUUCAACGUGGAUGAAUAUGAACACUACGAGAGGGCAGAGAACGGAGAUUUUAACUGGAUCAUCCCAGGGAAGUUUCUGGCCUUCAGCGGUCCUCAUCCAAAAAGCAAAAUUGAGAACGGAUACCCUCUUCACGCCCCUGAAGCCUAUUUCCCGUACUUCAGGAAGCACGACAUCACCACCAUCAUUCGUCUCAACAAGAAAAUGUACGACGCCAAACGUUUCACAGAUAUGGGCUUCAGCCAUCAUGACCUGUUCUUUGUGGACGGUAGCACGCCCAAUGACGUCAUCCUCACAAAGUUCCUGAACAUCUGUGAGAAUGCAGAAGGAGGGAUCGCUGUUCACUGUAAAGCGGGUUUGGGCCGGACGGGUACCCUGAUCGCCUGUUACAUGAUGAAACACUUCAGAAUAACAGCAGCUGAAGCCAUCGCAUGGAUCAGGAUCUGCAGACCCGGUUCAGUCAUCGGACCUCAGCAGAACUUCACUGAAGGGAAGCAGUCGAGUCUCUGGGCCGAGGGUGAUCUGUACCGACGAAAAAUAAAUGAGGACGAGAACAGCUCCAGCAGAACCGCAGUGUCCGGAAUCCUGUCAGGGGUUGAAGACAUCUCCAUCAAUGAAACCAACAAGAACAUAUCACUGAGAAAAACUUCUGAGUCUCACACCGAGGAAGAGGAUGAGGACUGCGGUGUUCCCACACAAGGUGACAAACUCAGAGCUCUGAAGAGCACGAGACAGUCCAGAGCAUCGACGGGUUCAUUAUCGUUGGAAGAAAACAAAAUUCACACCAUGUCAGCAUCAAAGUCAUUAAGUUCAGAGAAAAAGAGAAGGACUCGAGGUUCGCUCGGAUCAAACAGAGCCAGCAGCCCGCUGUUACAUUCAAGACUCGCCAAGUCUUUAGGCAGUUUGCACGUAAUGAGCCGUGAGAAGGAGCGAGUGUUCUGUCAGGUUAACAGUAAUUUCAUCAAGCAGUCAAACGUGAAGCCUUUAAACCCAGUGAACAGUCGGCCAGAGGACUUCCUCUGAUGUCUCAACGAUCUCUUUCCAGAAGAAGGACAUCGCUUGACGCAAUCCCAUCGACACGCUUUCAGAGAGCAUGUAACUCCAUCUCCAAAGCUCGCGCUCCUCUCCUGCGCUGAAGACCGGAAUCACAUUUUGUUUUUAGUGCUUGUUUUGACGGAACCGCUCGACACUGAACAAAAUUCUAUGAGGAAACUGUGUUAAAGGAAAAAGUCAGCAAAUGUCAACCAUUUACAUUUGACAAAGAGAGAGUAUUUUAGCAUCUAAAGUUGAGUUUUUAUGCCGUUGUAAAUAUCAUGUCAGAAUCAUGCCUUCGCUCUUAUGUUACUAAACCUUUAAAGGUGUUUUAAAUACUGUAUACGGCGCUUUAUUCUACACCUACAGCCAUAUGUGACGCAUCUAAUGUGAAUCUCUCUCUCUCUUUCUCUCUCUCUGUGAAUCAUGGCUGAAAGGUGUGUAUAUAUAGGCCACGUUUAACACUUAAAUGGACUGUUGUUGUUUUUUCUUCUUGUAAAUAAUGCAUAUACCUUUAUUUUGAUGACCAAGUGAAUUUAAACCCUGAUGGUUUCAUAUAUAUGAAAGGAUCUAAAUCAUUCUCAUUUCAAUAAAUCCUUUCUGUUGCAAAUGUGUUUGAGAAUGAACAUUCUUUUCUAUUUCCGUUUCUUUACUCAGAUGUGUUAAUACCUGUUAUUACACGGCU